rnacentral:lncRNA from 1 species
AUGUGUAGUGCCAUUGAGUCAGGGUACUCAUGCCCCAAAUACACCCAGAAGGGAUGUGUUAUGCACGGCAGCAAGUGGAAACUUUCCCCUGCUGCCCUGCCAUUGCUGCACAGCUCGGUGCUGUUGGGUGACUGCAAGAGACGUGAAAGAACAUUCUGCAGUCUCCAUUUUAGUCUUCCAUGCAGCUGGCAAGACUUCAGAAAGCGGGCUGCUUUUGUGCCAUGGCAGUUGCUCAGCAGAAACAGAACAGAGGCCAACUACACCCAAAUCCCCCACCCAGAGCAGCGGGACGUGGCCGGGAUGACCACCAUGUUGCUGACCCAGGGGAGGAAACGGAGAUCAGCUGUGCUGAAGAGGAUGCUAUUAAUCAAGAUGAUUUCAGACUCACCCCACUUCUACCUUCACACUACAAACACCAGAGCUAGGAAGGCAUUAACUACAUGUAAAUAAGUAAGCACUGAUAUUUCCAUGGAGCUGGGGCAUUAAGAAGAGUGACAACAAUCACAAGGUUGAAAGAAAAAUCGAGACUUUGGCAACCCAGAGCAGGUCCGCUCUCUUUCCCACUUGCAUUCAGUCAAGCUGUUGGCUUCACUCUCGCCCUUUUCCUCCCUCUCAUCCAGUGGGAAUAUAUAUUUGCGUAUGAACAGGCUUCAGAGGCUACCCCAACCUCUGGCAACUUUUUCAAAAUUUGUGCUCUGGUUCACAGCCUCUGUCAAAACGACCCGCAGCAGCAUCAGAUGUUACUGCUCCCAGCUCCCUGCCUUACUCCUCCGCUGAAGAUCACCACUCCUGCAGGUUGUGGUAACACCUGGCAAACCUCUGGGUGAACUUCAAAGAGAGGUUUAGAAAGAUCUGAAACCUCAGCAGACAAAGUCACUGGUGCCAUAUUUAGAGCUUACAGAAGUAGGAGAAAUUUCUCUCAAUAAGGGUGAGCGCCGCGGUGCCUGUGCUCCAAGCAAAGCGUGCUUUGCUGUGACUUCUCUCCAAGUUUAUAGAAAGUACUGAAAGAUUGAAAGAGGAACGUGUCAAAGAAACACAAAGAAGCUGUUCUCCAGUGAAAAGAGUUGCUCUGUGGUGCUAAGAGGGGCCUGGGACCCUACUGGCUUGGGAAAUCACCAUCACAGUGUGAUGUUCCAGCGGUCUGGGGUCAGAAACGAACUGAGUAUGGUGGUACCUUACCUCUGAUACGAGGCUCAACUGAGACGAUACAUUGAUCACAACUGUUGAUGGCUGAAGUAUAGGCCUUUCCACGUCUGCUCCAAGACUUUUGUCUGCACACGCUAAGUAACCUCAUUUUGUUCCGAGGAAUACACUGAGGUUUUUGGUGACACAGCUUCAUUGCUUUCUCCUAAAUAUUUAGCUAUGCAAUCUCAUGCUGUUCAGCUCUGGAAUGUCUCAAGAUGGAAGAGGGAAAUGAGCUUGCCUGGAGCUGGGCCCAGCAUUUCUCUGGCAAAUGUACAUCAAAUAAAACAAAACAUUUACAGACA